AUUGAACGCUGGCGGCAUGCUUUACACAUGCAAGUCGAACGGCAGCGCGGGGCAACCUGGCGGCGAGUGGCGAACGGGUGAGUAAUAUAUCGGAACGUACCCAGAAGUGGGGGAUAACGUAGCGAAAGUUACGCUAAUACCGCAUACGAUCUACGGAUGAAAGUGGGGGACCUUCGGGCCUCAUGCUUGUGGAGCGGCCGAUAUCUGAUUAGCUAGUUGGUGAGGUAAAGGCUCACCAAGGCGACGAUCAGUAGCUGGUCUGAGAGGACGACCAGCCACACUGGGACUGAGACACGGCCCAGACUCCUACGGGAGGCAGCAGUGGGGAAUUUUGGACAAUGGGCGCAAGCCUGAUUCAGCAAUGCCGCGUGAGUGAAGAAGGCCUUCGGGUUGUAAAGCUCUUUUGUCAGGGAAGAAACAGGACUGGUUAAUACCUGGUCCUAGUGACGGUACCUGAAGAAUAAGCACCGGCUAACUACGUGCCAGCAGCCGCAGUAAGAC
rnacentral:rRNA from 1 species